AAUGGGUCAGCGACUUAUAUUCUGUAGCAAGGUUAACCGAAUAGGGGAGCCGAAGGGAAACCGAGUCUUAACUGGGCGUUAAGUUGCAGGGUAUAGACCCGAAACCCGGUGAUCUAGCCAUGGGCAGGUUGAAGGUUGGGUAACACUAACUGGAGGACCGAACCGACUAAUGUUGAAAAAUUAGCGGAUGACUUGUGGCUGGGGGUGAAAGGCCAAUCAAACCGGGAGAUAGCUGGUUCUCCCCGAAAGCUAUUUAGGUAGCGCCUCGUGAAUUCAUCUCCGGGGGUAGAGCACUGUUUCGGCAAGGGGGUCAUCCCGACUUACCAACCCGAUGCAAACUGCGAAUACCGGAGAAUGUUAUCACGGGAGACACACGGCGGGUGCUAACGUCCGUCGUGAAGAGGGAAACAACCCAGACCGCCAGCUAAGGUCCCAAAGUCAUGGUUAAGUGGGAAACGAUGUGGGAAGGCCCAGACAGCCAGGAUGUUGGCUUAGAAGCAGCCAUCAUUUAAAGAAAGCGUAAUAGCUCACUGGUCGAGUCGGCCUGCGCGGAAGAUGUAACGGGGCUAAACCAUGCACCGAAGCUGCGGCAGCGACACUAAGUGUUGUUGGGUAGGGGAGCGUUCUGUAAGCCUGUGAAGGUGUACUGUGAGGUAUGCUGGAGGUAUCAGAAGUGCGAAUGCUGACAUAAGUAACGAUAAAGCGGGUGAAAAGCCCGCUCGCCGGAAGACCAAGGGUUCCUGUCCAACGUUAAUCGGGGCAGGGUGAGUCGACCCCUAAGGCGAGGCCGAAAGGCGUAGUCGAUGGGAAACAGGUUAAUAUUCCUGUACUUGGUGUUACUGCGAAGGGGGGACGGA
rnacentral:rRNA from 1 species